UUUCAUUCGACUUACAAGAAGAAAUAUGUAAGUCGUCGUUUGUGCUGUCACAUAAUGAACACCGAUGAAAUCGCAUGUAUAAUCAAUUGUGAUUGUGACAGUGACUUCUUAUGAUAAUGGAAUUAUCUGAAAUGUACAUAUCAAACUUUUACAAGACUAUGUGAAAUUCUUUACUUUAAAACUGUUUAUAGAAAGAAGACUGUUAAUAUUUAUAACCUUAAUAAUAACGUGACAUGUGACAUUUAGGAUAUGUAUAAAUAAUUAUUUAUUGAUGAUUUUGUAACUUGAUGAUUUUCGACUAAUAAUGUCUAACAAUAUUUUAAAUGAGAGAAGAACUGAGAAUGUUAUGGACCAUUCAGUUCUUCAUGAUUCUGAAUUUGAUGAUGCAUUAGAUGUACCUGAUUCGUUAGAAAUUACUGUGAAUGAAAAUGAUGAUACAAUAAAUGUUGAGUGUGGUGGAGAUGCUAAUAGCAUAGUAUAUCCUGGUAGGAUACCUUUCUCUGCUAUAUAUGAUUUACCAAAGCAAUUUAAAAGUCAACAUCGUGAUGUUUUUAUUCCUGGUGAAGAAGUGCAUGUAAACAUCAUAGAUUAUGAACGUAGUGUAACAACACAUCCUCUGAAUCCAAACUUGUACACUAUUGAAUUUAGGCAUGGACAUUUUACUUGGACAAUUAAAAAACGAUACAAACAUAUCCAAAACUUGCAUAAUCAAUUGAAAAUAUAUCGUGCAAGUUUAAAUAUACCUUUUCCAACUAAAAGUCACAAAGAAAGAAGAAUUAGUUUGAAAAGUUUAGGAGAUGUAAAAGAAGGAAAAGGCCGUAAAGGUGCAUUACCAAGAUUUCCAAAUAAGCCCGAUAUGCUAGUACCUUAUGAGCAAUUAGAUCUUAGAAGAAAAGUAUUAGAAGAAUAUUUGACCAAUUUAUUAAAAAUAAAAAUUUAUUUACAUCAUCCAGAAACAAUCAAUUUUUUAGAAGUUUCACAUUUAUCAUUUAUAGAAGACUUAGGAAUGAAAGGCAAAGAAGGUACUAUUUUAAAACGAACUGGAUCAGGUGCAAGAACUAGAUGUAAUUUUUGCGGUUUGCUUGAAGGCAUGUGUUGUAUUAGAUGUAAUCAUUUUUGUACAUCUUUAUGUGGAAAAUGGCAUUCUCGACAUCUCGUUGUUAAAGAUACUUUUGUUGCCUAUAUUAGGCCCAAAAAUGGUAGCAUAAAAUCGGUAAUUUUAAUGGAUAAUGGGUUUGGAGUCAGUUUUGGCAUGUAUACAACAGGUUUAAGAAAUGGUAUGCAAAUAGCAAAUCUUAGUAGGCAUAUAUUAAUCAAAUGUUGGACGAGAAGAAAGGCUAAAGAAUGGAUGGAAUUUAUACAAGAAAUCAGUAAUAAGGAAGGCCGAGAUUUUAUACAAUCAAAUCCACACAAUUCGUUUGCACCUUAUCGUUCGCCUAUAGCAGCUACAUGGUUUGUUGAUGGAUCAAGUUAUAUGUCUGCCGUUGCAGAUGCAUUAGAAAAUGCCAAGGAAGAAAUUUUCAUUGCAGAUUGGUGGUUAUCACCAGAAAUUUAUAUGAAAAGACCUGUUUCUGACGAUUAUUGGCGAUUAGAUAAAAUAUUAGAAAGAAAAGCUUCUAACGGAAUCAAAGUAUUUAUAAUGAUCUACAAAGAAGUAGAAGUUGCAUUGGGCAUAAAUAGUUUUUAUAGUAAACAACGGUUAGUUGAAAAAUGUCCUGAAAAUAUAAAAGUAUUACGUCAUCCAGAUCAUGCAAGAGUAGGAGUAUUUCUCUGGGCACAUCACGAAAAGAUCGUGAUUGUUGAUCAAAAUAUUGCUUUCCUUGGUGGAAUCGAUUUAUGUUACGGCCGAUGGGACAAUAAUGAACAUAGAUUAAUAGAUUUAGGUAAUACUCAUCAGUCUAGCAUUUAUAUUCCAUCUAAAGGUAAAUUCACCAAUACCAGCAGUAAAAAAAUAUCAUGCGCUAAUGUUAAUAAGCAUGUUUUAUUACCAUUGGCUAUUGCAACUAACACAGUUGUAAUGGCUACUACGAAAUCUAUACCAGUAUUAUCAAUGAUAAGCAACAAAACAUCAUUGUCACCAGCAUUGCCACAAUUGAAUGCUGGAGAUUUAUUAUUAAUGCACUCUUUAGAAAAAUCAGAUACUAUGAAAUGUGAUACUCCAAAUACAGAGCGUAAAAAUUUAUUUGGCAUGGCAAAAGAUACUAUGGAUAGAAUGAAACAUAAUAUUAAAUUAAAAAGACAAGAAUUAAUUAAUAUGGUAUAUAAUCCAUAUGAAGGAAGUAGUGAUGAAGAAGAUACAAUGGAUAAUAAUACAGUACAAACUGCAAUUGAAAGUAAUGAAUCAGUGACAUAUAGUGGAGAUGUAUUUUUAGAAUAUCCAGCUGUAUCUAAACUCUGGCUAGGGAAAGAUUAUGUCAAUUUUAUUGUUAAAGACUUUAAUGAUCUCGAAAAACCUUAUCAAGAUCUAGUAGAUAGAAGUACUACUCCUAGAAUGCCGUGGCAUGAUAUAGGAAUUAUGGUUCAAGGUGCAACAGCAAGAGAUGUUGCUAGACAUUUUAUUCAACGUUGGAAUGCAAUUAAAAUGGAAAAAGCAAAAUUAAAUCCAUGUUAUCCAUUUUUGCUUCCAAAAUCGUAUAAAAACUGUAGAAAUUUUGUUCCAUUUCUUGAAGAAUCUGCUAUACAUAAUGUUAAUUGUCAAGUAUUAAGAUCUGUUAGCUCUUGGUCAGCUGGUUUUCUUGAUUCAGAAACUUUAGAGCAAAGUAUACAAGAAGCCUAUCUUGAAGCUAUUAGUAAAGCAGAAAGAUAUAUAUAUAUAGAGAAUCAAUUUUUUAUAACACUUGUAUCCAUGGAACGAACCACAGUAAAAAAUCGCAUAGGAGAAACAUUAUUCAAACGAAUCUUAAGAGCACAUCGAGAAGGUGCGGUAUUUAGAGUAUUUGUAGUAAUGCCUUUAUUACCAGGUUUUGAAGGAGAAGUUGGAGGUCCAACUGGUACUGCCUUACGUGCUAUUACACAUUGGAAUUAUGCUUCUAUAUCAAGAUGAUAGUACUGUUAUUUGUGGUUCCGCUAAUAUUAAUGAUAGAAGCAUGAUAGCAACGAGAGAUAGUGAAAUUGCAGUAAUAAUUCAUGAUCAAGAAUUCGA
rnacentral:misc_RNA from 1 species